rnacentral:rRNA from 1 species
UACGGAGGGUGCAAGCGUUAUCCGGAUUCACUGGGUUUAAAGGGUCCGUAGGCGGACUAUUAAGUCAGCGGUGAAAGCCCACAGCUCAACUGUGGAACUGCCGUUGAUACUGGUAGUCUUGAGUACAAGUGAAGUUGGCGGAAUGUGUGGUGUAGCGGUGAAAUGCUUAGAUAUCACACAGAACACCAAUUGCGAAGGCAGCUGGCUAACUUGUAACUGACGCUGAGGGACGAAAGUGUGGGGAUCAAACAGG